GAAGAAGACCCUGUGGAAUAAUGAACACUACGAGGGCCUGGAGACUCACCACAGGCACAGAGGAGAUGGGAGGAGAGAGCAGAGGAUUUGGACUGUCCAAGGCUUCUCCAUAUAGAGACCAAUGGAGCUUCUAUUGGUGCAAAUGAAGGUGAAGCCAUUUAGGAGAGACCAUGUGUUCAUGUGACAACUGUCCAAAGGUAGAGUUUCCACUGGCUUCAUUAAAGGCCUGAAUGUAAAACAGCUGCAGAACCAUGAAUUGGGUCCUGGCAAGUGAAAUCGUCCCUUUUAUUUUUUUUUUUAAAUCAUUUGACGUGGCAACAUGGCAGCUAUUUAAUUACUCUCAUGCAAGAACAAUAAAUAAAAGUCCUAUGA